GGGAAUGUGGCUUAGUGGUAGAGUACUUGCCUAGCAUGCAUGAAGCCCUGGGUUUGAGUCCUCAGUACCA
rnacentral:tRNA from 1 species